GGGUGGAUCUUCUUCCCUGGUGAAAUUGUUGCUUUAGAAACGCAGCUUUAACCCUAACGCUCAGCUGACCAUCCUGUUUUUCCUAGACCUCUCCCUGUUGCCUGUCACUCCCCCGUCCCCCCGCUUACAUUUUGUGUGCAUGGUGGGAGAGGCUGGUAUGCAUCUGGAGCGAGCCCCUGGUGCCCGUGUGUGACACCAAGCAUCGGGACAGGGUGUCGGUGGCAGGGAUUGAACCUGCGAGCUCUGGAUUGUAAAGUAUGACCUUUAAAGCCCAAGUCUUGGGGCUCAAGCGGGCUUCUUACCCGCUCUGGCCUGGCCACCAGUGGGGAAAGGCGGGGGGAGGCUAGAACGGAGCACCCAGCCGGUUACACUUGCCCCAGCUCCCUUGUAGCAAUUUUGAAGAGGUGGGGGCCACACGCUGUAGGCAGAGUCAGGCACACACUGGGCUGGCGGAGUUUAGGGGGGCACUUUGCGCCACCCACUGGGCAGGGAGGGGAAGGAGCCGUCCCAGCUCUUAAAGAAGGGGCUGGUUUUACAUUGCGAGUAUUUCCCCCUUGCCCGGCAUUGUCCAAGCCCUUCCCCACCCCAGGGCCAGCUCCUCCCACGGCCGGGCCAAUGUCAGCCCCACGAAGUCCUACCCCCCUCUCUGCGCCCGUGCCCCUGCCAUGCACCGGGCACCCAACUGCUCCAGGGGGGCUGGCUCAGCGCCGCACGGCUCGGCUCGGCUCGGCCUCACACGCUCGGGCAAGAGGCUCGGGCGUGGCCUUUCGGGACGCGGGAUGAGCCGGAUCCAGGCUCCUUCCUCGCAGCAGUAACCGGAAGUUGAAGCAUUCAUUUUAUUUUUCAUUACCAAAGUGAAACAUUGUAGCAAAACUGAGCGCGCUCCUGGCUCGCCCCCACCCCCGGCCACCCCCCUCCACCAGCCCCCCCACUGCCUGCCCCCAGUCACCAUCCUGCUGGCUCACUGAACCCCCUGCCACAGCCUGCCUAGGGCCAGGCCAAAAAACCCAUCACUGCAAAGGCCAAGAGGAGGUAGUGUCAUGGCUUGUCUCGUGGCCACUGAGCCCGUCGCUAGUGACGGACGGGGGCCCACCCACCAGGCCUUGCCAGGAUGGGGGGAACCCUGAGGGCAGAGCCCCCAGUAUUAAGGAGGGCCAGAUACCCUGGUGAAGGCCUUCCAGCUCCCAUGGUGGGGGGCACACCCCCCAUUGUGCCUCAAGGUAGGGGGCUGGACCAGCUCGAUGCUGCUGCUGGGGGCCAGUGCCGCACUUGACUGCUCCUGCCGGCGUGUGAGUCGCAAGGGUGGGGAGGCUUAAAAUCGAAAUGCUGGCAUAGCCCCCACCCCUGUAGCUAAGGGCUAGGGCCCUCCCCGCCCCCCCCCCCCCACACCAGCACUGCCCCUUCCCCACUGGAGGGGACGAGGUGUUUUUAAAACCCAGUCAGGUAAACCACAGCCCCGCCCCCGCACCGGACUCACCUGGGCGUGCAUGACUCACGUGCAUCCUGGCCUCGCUCCAGCGGGAACUGGCUCGCGGGCCCAGGCAGCUGUCACUACAUGAGCAAGAGAUGUUGCAUCUGGGGGCAGAUUUUUUUCCCCCCUAAGGCACAAGGUGGGCGGGGCGGGGGGAACAUGGUCAAAAGCACCUAAGGCCCAGUGCCUCCAUGGCACUUCCGCACUUAACGCCCAUUGGCUUCAGUGGGCAUUCAGCAGCGAAGCACAUUUCAGGUUCUGGGCCUGAGUGUCUUGGGCGAUAGGG